rnacentral:tRNA from 1 species
GGUGUAGCUCAGUGCAGAGCGCUUGCCUAGAAUGUGAGAGGUUCUGGGUUUGAUCCCCAGCACC